GGGGAUGUAGCUCAGUGGCAGAGUGCUUACCUAGCGCGCAUAAGGCCCUGAGUUCAAUCCCCAGUGCCCCCC
rnacentral:tRNA from 1 species